rnacentral:rRNA from 1 species
UACGAAGGGGGCUAGCGUUGCUCGGAAUCACUGGGCGUAAAGCGCACGUAGGCGGAUCCUUAAGUCGGGGGUGAAAUCCUGGAGCUCAACUCCAGAACUGCCUUCGAUACUGAGGAUCUCGAGUCCGGGAGAGGUGAGUGGAACUGCGAGUGUAGAGGUGAAAUUCGUAGAUAUUCGCAAGAACACCAGUGGCGAAGGCGGCUCACUGGCCCGGUACUGACGCUGAGGUGCGAAGCGUGGGGAGCAAACAGG